rnacentral:rRNA from 1 species
GACAGAGGUGCCGAGCGUUAGGCGGAAUCACUGGGCUUAAAGCGUGUGUAGGCAGACGGGUAAGUACCUUGUGAAAUCCCACGGCUCAACCGUGGAACUGCUGGGUAUACUGCCUGUCUUGAGUCAUCUAGGGGCGAGCGGAACAAAUGGUGGAGCGGUGAAAUGCGUAGAUAUCAUUUGGAACGCCAAUGGUGAAAACAGCUCGCUGGGGAUGUACUGACGCUGAGACACGAAAGCCAGGGGAGCAAACGGG